CCGGCAGCGGCGGGCGGCGUUAGCUAACUUCUUAAAAGCUUUAUUUUCAUGACCUCAUUUUCAUGGUUCAGUGACUACUUGAAAAAAAAGUUAAGAUUUUUUUUGUAAUGUUAAAUUCUCUCUUAUUAUAAGUAAUAGGAUAAGUAUAUUUGGUAUGUGCGUACCUUGCAAGGUCCUCAUGCCCGUCAGACAAUUUUCACUUGACCUCGACCUCAUUUCAUGGAUCAGUGAACAAGGUUAAGUUUUGGUGGUCAAGUCCAUAUCUCAGAUACUAUAAGCAAUAGGUCUAGUAUAUUCGGUGUAUGGAAGGACUGUAAGGUGUACAUGUCCAACUGGCAGGUGUCAUCUGACCUUGACCUCAUUUUCAUGGUUCAGUGGUUAUAGUUAAGUUUUUGUGUUUUGGUCUGUUUUUCUUAUACUGUAUGCAAUAGGUCUACUAUAUUUGGUGUAUGGAAUGAUUGUAAGGUAUACAUGUCUAGCUGGCAGGUGUCAUCUGACCUUGACCUCAUUUUCAUGGUUCAGUGGUUAUAGUUAAGUUUUUGUGUUUUGGUCUGUUUUUCUUAUACUGUAUGCAAUAGGUCUACUAUAUUUGGUGUAUGGAAUGAUUGUAAGGUGUACAUGUCUAGCUGGCAGGUGUCAUCUGACCUUGACCUCAUUUUCAUGGUUCAGUGGUCAAAGUUAAGUUUUUGAGUUUUGGUCUUUUUUUCUAAUACUAUAUGCAAUAGUUCAACUAUAUUUGGUGUAUGGAAAUAUUUUAUGAUCUAUAUGUUAGUCACGCAGGUUUUAUUUGACCUUGACCUCAUAUUCAAGGUUCAUUGCUCAGUGUUAAGUUUUUGUGUUUUGGUCUGUUUUUCUUAAACUAUAAGCAAUAGGUCAACUAUAUUUAUUGUAUGGAAGAAUUGUUAGCUGUACAUGCCUGCCUAGCAUGGUUCAUCUGACCUUGACAUCAUUUUCAUGGUUCAUUGGUCAAUGUUUAGUUUACUUGGUUAAUGUUAAGUUUAUGUGACAGUUGUAAUAAAGCUUUAUAUUUAGGACUAUCAACAUAAUAUCAAUGAUUAGUAAAGAAGGCGAGACAUUUCAGCGUGUGCACUCUUGUCUAACUUUAGUUUGCCUCAACCAAAUGUUAUGAAACUUAUACACAAUGCUUAUUACUACAUAAUACAGAUUAAUGAGGAAAUUUGGUGGCGACACUUUUACCAUUCUUGAGUUAUGUCCCUUUAUAAACAUAAAAAGUGCUGAAUUUUUCGUUUCCAUUUUCUAACUUUAGUUUGUCUCAACCAAAUGUUAUAAAACAUAAACACAACUGUUCUAGAGUUAUGCAUGUUUACAAAUAGAAAAAUUGCUGAAUUUUUA